rnacentral:lncRNA from 1 species
UGUCUACCACCGUGUGCUUCUCAGCAUGUUUCUCUCCUUGGACCUUGGGUUUCCAACUCUGUGACCUUCACGAUGGAGCCAGGAGUUGGGAUCACCGUGCAAAGGCUGGGCCUUAGCCUGGCUUCAGGAAGGGCCCACGGUGCCAAAGCAUGGUUGGAGGUGAGCAGGCCUCGGUGCUGGGGAAGAAAGAAGCGCGUUCCCACCACCUCGGCCCCAGCUCCCAAGAGCGGCACCCCAGACGGCACUGAACCAGAAGCUCCCGACCAGAAGCCUCACUCCUACCCCAGGUGAGGACUGCGACCUGCCGCCUUCCCCCUUGACCACAGGCCUGUUGCCUGGAGAUAUGAGCGUGCUGGGGCGGGGGGGGGAAAAGCGCAUUGUGCGCAAAGGGGCUGCAGAUCCUCCAUCUCUUCUCUCCUCCGGACAGUUCCUGUGGAGGGCUCCCAGCACCCUUUCGCCCAGUCAGGCUUGCUGAGGCUCCUUUAUGGUUGAGUCUCCAGGCCGCUCCGGACUUCCCCCGGUUCUCCCAUUUAUGCGACUCAGAAACUGAAGAUGAAUCCAGCGGGUAGGAGGGACUCCAGCCCAGCAGAAGCAGACACAUAGGGAGGGUUGCCAAGCCCCAGCCGAAGCUGGGGCGAGAGCCACACCUCACUCUUUCGGAGAAACUGGGCGCUGCGUCCAGACCUUCGGACCACUGAGAGAGCGAAGGAGCCCAGCGUAGAGGGGGCGCCUACGAGGCUUUGUCCACUAAUUCACACUGCAUCGCGUCCCCAUUUGACGGAUAAGAGACUGAGGCGUCUGGGAGGGUAAUGACUCGCGCUGGGACACGGCGGCCAAGAGGGAGAGGGAAGUAGACGGGUCUUCCAGCGGCUUUGGGCAACAAGCACUUCCCCCUGGGAUGUACGCGAGUGUCUGCGCUUUACUGCCCUACGCGAGACUGCUACCCGGCGCCUGCACACUUAACCCCACCCCCGCGAAGCGCUAAGCCAAUCAGGACCGGAGGGAGGAGGAC